CGAAAGCCACGUUAACGUCUUCGGUGGCAUCCUGCAGCAGCGGAAGUGAUUCCAGUGUAAGUAGGUAUAUGAUUCCUCCAUCUAGAAUCAUGCAUGGCCUAGAAUUACUCCAGUUAUUUAUUAUUAUUAUUAUUUAUUUAUUUAUUGUUUACAAAAAUUACAAUAUUUCUUACAUUAGUCUCGCAAAACCUAUUCACCUAGGUUUGUCUGCGAGUACGGAGUCACACUCGUUCAUUAAAUCUUAUUUUAUAAUACACUUAAAAUUGCUCUAAUAGCUAUUUGAACAUUGAUUAUUGUUUAAAAAGUAUUGAGUAUAUUAACAUAAAUUACAUUGAGUUAAGGUACAUCUUUUUAAGUUUACGACUGAAUUUUGUCCUGUUACUUGAAUUGAAAACUUCAAUAGGGGAUGUUUUGUAAAUCUAGUAGUAGUCUAGGAAUAUUUUUGUUUUUUGUUUUUGGAUAACUUGAUUAUUUAUGGUACCUGUCAUACAAAGAAAACAUAAUUUUUCAUUUAGCUCAAAAAUGGCGCCAACGAUUUUUCUCAAAUUUCUCGUCAUUUUAUCUUUUAAUAACAUCUAUAACAUGGCUUACUCAGUCAGUUUUUACCGGGAAACUCUAAAAAAGGUAGCUGCCAUACAAAAUCAAUUUUGUUUGUAAAUUUUCCUAUAAGCCCGGCAAACCGCGCCGUCACCAAAACCACUUUUGUUUUGUGAUAGAUAAAAUACUUAUUUGAAAUUCAAACGUGUCCUCCGGCCAAUAUUCAUGGGAAUACAUAACUUAUUUUACAGGUACAAGAAGAAGACGUACCUGCCGUCGCAGUUGGAAGUAGUUCUGGUCCCACCUUAGAGCAGGGUCAAGACGAAGUCGACUCAUCAAAAGUACCUCAAGCAUCUUGUCAUAAGCCUGCAUAAAAAGUGAAUGUUGCCAAAGAAGACAUAAUUGAAAUCGUGCCUUCUGCUCCUGCCGAAAUCAAAGAUGUGAAUCUCGACGAUCUAGGUUGCUGGCUUUCUCCUAUGACCGACGAAGUAAGAACGCUUCUAGUACGUCGCGGAUCUGACUCAGUGCAGCACAUCGAUUCCAAAUUGGCCGAUGUUGUUCGCUCAGGGACUUCAACGAAAGGCGGUACCCGAAAACUAACCAAAGAGUGAUUCUACAAACCAUUAUCUAACGGCGAAAAUGUUCUCCGAACAUGAAUGGUGUACUCGCCUUUGAAGCAAUCCUUGUAUUGUUUUUCUUGCAAGCUGUUUGGCAUUUCCGGCUCUAACUUCGCAUCUGAAGAAGGAUUCAACAAAUGGUGGAAGCUAAAUCCAAUAAUAGGAGACCAUGAAAAUAGCCUGGGCCAUGAACAGAGCUUCUUGAAAUGGAAGGAGUUGGAAGUUCGCCUGAACUGUAAAGCAACCAUCGAUCAGAAACAACAAGAAGUUUUCGAAAGUGAGGAGAAAAAGUGGAGGGAUGUACUGUACAGGUUGCUGAAUAUUAUCCAGUUCUUAGCCAAACAGAAUCUGGCCUUCAGAGGACAUCGAGAAGACAUUCGAGGAGAUGAUAGAGGCAAUCGCGGGAACUUUCUGGAGUUAGUGAACCUCCUAGAUAAAUACGACCCUCUUCUAAUGGAACACCUGACAAAGAUAAAGCUGGGAGCAAGAGUCUCAGUUUCGUAUCUAUCUCCAGAAACCCAGAAUGAAUUUAUAAACUUACUGGGACAGCAAGUUCGAUCCACCAUCAUCCGUCGUAUUCAAGAAGCUAAAUAUUAUUGCGUAAUCUUCGACAGUACACCAGACAUCUCCCACAAUGACCAAAUGAGCCAAGUUCUGCGAUACGUACGUAUCGAAGGAGAAAAAGUCACCAUGGUAGAAUCUUUCAUUGACUUCUUCGAACCAAAUGGAAAAAAAUGCAGAAGAUCUCAGUAACGAUGUAAUCGCGAAGAUAACAUCAGACGGACUGGACAUACAGAAUCUGAGAGGACAGGCUUAUGACAAUGCUGCCACAAUGUCAGGGAUCCACAAUGGAGUUCAAGCCCGGAUUAAAGCACUGAAUCCGAAAGCUAUAUUCGUUGCAUGCACAAACCACUCACUAAACUUGGCUGGGGUACACGCUGCUUCUGAAUCAGUGGAUUCCGUGACGUUUUUUGGAACUCUGGAGAAGCUUUUUGCCUUAUUUUCCGCAUCAACUGUUCGAUGGAACGCUUUGGUUGCCGUCACAGGUCAAGCAGUAAAACGAGUCACUGAAACGCGCUGGAGCACUAGACAUAUAGCUGUCAAGAUGCUUAAAAAUAAGUUUGAGGUAGUUCUUGAGGUACUGGAACAAUUAACAGAUUCAUCUCAAACUUUCGAAACAAGAUCGGGAGCCAGUCUUCUCCUGACAGCCAUGCAGUCAUUUAACUUCUUAACUUUUCUUGGCUUUUGGGCUGCAGUGCUACCUGAAGUAUAUUGAUUUAUCUGCAGCAACGAGGACUUAGUGUGGAUAAGUGUGCUCAGAAACUCUGCGCUUUGAAAACCCUCUUAGUGGAAAGUAGAGACCGUUUCGUGCAAGAAGCAAUUGACUUUGCUAUGACUCUCUGCGAAAAACUCGGAAUCAAACUCAAAACGAGAAGAAUUCGCAGGGAAAAAACGCAUGCAUGGCAAAGAAUCUUCUGAAGAUGCAGCUUUGUCUCACGAACAGGAAAUCCGUCGAGAGAUUAUCGCAAUAUUCGACAAGAUCAUUCAAGAAAUGACGACUCGAUUCCAGCAAAUUCAAGAAAUAUCGGACAAGUUAGGAUUUUUGAUGCCAGCGAAACUUUUGGACAGCAAGUUCGAGUGUGAUCUUUCCCAUGUAUUAGAAGACAUCGACAAGGACGAGUUUGAGAUGGAGCGGAAGCGUCUUCAGCAGUUUGUUGUUGUUGCUUGUUCUGAAUCAGAGGAAGAUAUAAGUGGUAAAGGACCACUGGAGCUCCUCCAGUUCAUUCAAAAACUGAAUCUCGGAAUUUCGGUUCCAAAUAUAGUCAUCUUGAUUCGUAUAUAUUUGACUUUGGCGAUUUGUGUUGCAAGUUGUGAGAGACGUUUUUCGAAGUUGAAGCUAAUAAAAAAUUACUUCAGAUCUACUAUGAGCUCCGCUAGACUAUCAAAUUUGGCUAUAUUGUCGAUUGAACAAGAAUUGGCUGCUAAUAUUGAUUUUGACAAAGUUAUUUCUGACUUCGCUGCUCAUAAGGCCCGUAGAAUCCGCUUGUAAAACCGCUCAUCCUAUUUUAACUUCAAUAAAAGGUACCUCAUUGCUAGAGACCUGAAAAAUUCGCGGGUUCAAUGACCUCCAGGAUGAACUCCAUAGUUCUGCGUACACUCGGUCAAAUGUCACCCACGCAUUGGCUGCUGUCUUGUGAGACGUCCUAACGUAGCAGCCUGUGAUUCGAUAAAGGUUUGAUUGGGUGUUUCUCAUUGGCCCAGCGUCAUCCAGGUGAGUUGUGAGCCAAUAGCAGAGGCAGCACUGAGGUAUAACUAUUUGUAUUUUAGCCUAUCGCGAAAUGAAUUCGCGAAUUUUUCCGGUCUCUACUCAUUGCAUGUGAAAUUUAAUUUUAAUUAAGCACCUAUAGAAUGGGGGCGGGAAAAUGGGUCUCCCGCCCCAGGCGCCGAGAUGGCACGCUACGCCACUGGUUCUGAGGCCGCUUCUUCACUCGCAGCGCUGUUUCGUCGAGUAGCCUACACCUGGGUGUCGUUCAUCACAACUGCCUGCGUCGCUGUUUGUCGCGCCGUGCCGUGUUUAUUAACACACACGCACACAUACAGUGAUGUUUCUUUUUGUAAACACUGAGAAAAAGGAUUGGUUCAAUGAACAAAAUAUAUUUGUUUGCAUGAUGGUUGUUUCGUUCAAACAAUAUUUAUUUGAUCCUACCAAUCGUUUAUUUGACCGUACUAAACGUAAAAUGUUCCAAACAAACUACACAUGUUCUCUAAACCAAAUUAUUUGUUUAAAAAUUAUUUGUUGCACCAAGCAGUUAUUUGUUUGGUCCAACACUUCAAACAGAUAUUUGGUUCAGUCAAACAAAUCAGUAUUAUUUUUCUAAACAAACAGCAUGUUUGCUUAAAUUAUAACAUUUUAAACGAAUAUUUUGUAGCGCCAACAAAAUAUUUUGUUAGCGCAACUAAACCAUUUGGUUGGCGACACUACUUUCCGGUUUUUAUUUUGUUGGCUAUGCCGUUUUAUUGUUAUUGAAGCAACUCCGUGAUGGUGCUGGAAAUUGAAUAUUGUGGGCAUCAGGUUAUUUAUUUCCUCGUUUCCGUUUGUAUGUGAGCAAGUGCUGAUCUAAAAAAUGGUUGAUGAGUAAACCAAGAUAAUUGUGGAAGAUUGGGGUGUUUGCAGUUAAUUGGACUUGUUGCAGGGCAAUCUCUGCACAGAGGAAGAAAGUUUAGUUUUUUUUGUGGAUGCAGAGAUUUUCCUUAAAAAAUCAAAUAUCAUCACUGCUUUUUUCUGUAAUUUUUUCCUGCUGCACCAUAUUCAAUGCCUCAGUAACUGGCAGUCACACAGAAAUUCAUCCAGAAGCGCAUGUUGAAAAUGAACCUACAUUAUGUCAUUAAGUUUUAUUUUUAUAAAUGGAUCUUAAUUCAUAAAUAUUGAAUUUAGUUAAUAAAUUUAAAAAAAUAACUGGAUUAUUUAUUUAAUUUUAAUAGUUAAUUUAUGUAAUUAAAUUGACAACAUGCCCUCCAAACGCCAUGGGCUUUAAAAGGUCAUUGCAUGUGUGUGUAUACCCAACCCUCGUCGGUACCGAGAGCAGCCAAACAACUACCUGGGGUAGGAACCCCAGCAGGUAGGCAUCAUCACAAGGCCUACAUAUAAAAGGUAAAUAGCCACAUAGCAGCAGCAUCUGGAUCAUGGCAAAACAGUUGUACAUAUUUAAGAUAAAUUCUAAUUGCAUCAAUAAUACCAAUUACAGAGUUGACGUAGCUUGGAUAACAUAAGAAAAUAUUUUAUUAUACCUUUUAUCGAUAACGAACAUUUAUUGCCAAGUUGAAAACUAAAUUUUUACUCACUUUUAUUAGCUUCACUUGUAGCUACGCAUUGGCGUGUAUUCAAUAGACGCUAGGUAAGCAGUGCUUACCCUGUUAUGUUGCUUGGCAUAAUGUAAUAUUUUUUGCUAUGUGGUAAUCUCAUCUCGUGUGCUAAUGUAACAAUAUCAGUGCGCGUUAUGGAUUGAAUUGAAACAUCCUGCGUCCCUGCGAAGCGAUGCGAUCACCGUAGCGGGCGCGUCAGAUAGCGUGCCACCCAGUUUUCAUGGUAACGUGUAAACUGGAGGGGAAGGGUUCAUGUAUCUUCGUGAGACUACUUUGGUAAAUAUCGCGCAAGGUGCGCUGUUCUCACAGCAACUGGCCCUAGCGCGCGUCGGCAGGCAGUUGCAUUGUGUCGUUCAACAAACAAUCAAACAUAAUACAAAUAUUAUUCGUACAACGUACAAUACAAGUUGUCAUUCCACAACACGUAUUUAAAAUAAACACACUGUCCGUUUUAUGACCAUUUUAUUCUGUUUUGUGUUUUCGUUUGAAGUGCUAACCAGUGUAAACUUCAUCUGCGACUGCUGUCUAUGUACCAACAAGGUAAGCUGUGAGUUCGGCAGCGUAUGCUGUCCAGGAGGAAGCAGGACUCUCAACCUGGCCACUGCGUUGUUUGCAAUGUUCUGAGUUCUGAUUUUAAUUCGUUUUCGAAACUGUUUAACUUUUGUCUUUACUAUAUAAAUUUAAAAUGGUGUAAAAAAUGAUCUCGACUGAUGUAAAAAAUCUCGUCAAGUUAAUUUUUGUGUACGCUUUAGUAAAAAUUUGAAAAAAUAGAAAAUGUUUCCUUAACGUUGUCUUUAUUUUCUAAUUUUAAAGUCGUUUAUAUAAAGUUUUUCCUUGACAUAUGUGAAAAAAACUCGUUAGGUUUACCCCGCAUAUACAUUCCAGCGUUUCUCAAUUUCCAUCUCAUUCCCCUAAUCGGCUUUUAGGACUUGAAACUGAAGCGCCGGAGCUCUGCCUAAGGAUAAGGCGGGCCUGCGUAUUAUAUUUUUGUGAGAGUAUUUGUAUGUUUUGUUACAUAAUAUACAACCCUAUAUUCAUAUUUCAGUAUAACUUUAAUAGUUUCUGUCUCAGAAAAGUUAAUAAUUUUGCUCCUGGUUGUAGCAGCUGGAGUUAUUUGACAGGUACAAAAAUUUAUACUUAGAAUAAAGUGCAUCUUAUACUUCUACCAGGAAAACUGCAAAAAUAGCCCCAUUUUGCACCUAGAAAUUCAAAUUAUUUUAAGGUUGAGAAUGGGUGAGACAGCUUACCCACACAAUUAUUCCACCACAUGCCAUUGUAACUACGUAAUAAAAUCUUGCAAGUCAAUAUAACGUAAUUCUAAUUCUCAUGUUGAACUAAAAUUUUGAAUUUAUACUCAGAUGAUAAUACAGUAAUUUUAUGACUGACCAGGAAAAAGGGAAGGACAAAGGGGGCAUAAGAGCAAAUAAACCCUACUUUUUUGCUAUAGGCAAUAACCAUUUUUAUUGUAUAUUCAUGAGUCCGGCUAUGGUGGGAAAUAUGCCAAAAGUCGACUGGCCCCACAACUGUGGGGAGAGGGGUUCAAAACCACAAAAUUUUGAAAAAUUUAAAAAAAAUUAUUCUUUUUUAAUUUGGAGUGUUUCCGAGCCAUUUGGGGUCUUAUCCACCCCCCCUCCCAUCCCAACCCCAUUUUCAUGGCUUAUGGGAAAGGUUAUAUGCCUACGGUUUUUUGAAAGUAGGGAAUAAUUAAAGUAGGCCUAAGUUAAUUUUGAUGUACAUCAAAAGCCUUCGAACACCAUGUUAUCUUGGGCAUUUGCCUUGGUAGGUGUUAAAACCCAAAAAUUUUGAAAAACCAUCAGCUGGAUCUUAUGUGUUACGUGUGAAUUGACAAUAUGUAAUUUUGAUAACUUAAGACCUUACUGGUAAGAGGAAGAGUGAAGUGGGCAGAGGGUCAAAAACCACUAAUUUUGAGCUCAGGGUAAUAACUGUGCUUUGAAUAAAAAAGACUAGAUUAUGUGAACAUUAAUGACUAAUUUAAAGUAUGUACAUUGUAGUAAUUACGGAAAUAACUACAUGAACUUAAUAACAAUAUGUACUUGAAGUUAAUUGGUAUCUUGAUAUGUCUUAAAUUUUCAAUCACAACUUUUAGGAUACAGUCAUUUUGAUAAUGUUAUGCUGUAGUCAUCAUUAUGAACAUUAAACAACAGUGCAUCCCACGUUUUCAGUUAUACAGAGUUUGGUGUAUUAGAUAAUUAAUGGGCAAAAUACGUAAAUUUUUAUUUCAAAGAACGAUAAAAGAUUUUUUUUUAUGUAUAAUUUUGAUUUUUUUGUUAAUGCCCACUGCUGAAGCUGUUGUUGGGCAUGUGACCAUUAAUUAAUAAAGUCUAGUAGGAACAAUUGAGUUGCAUAAACAAAACAUUUGGUAAUGAUAUAAGCAAUAUGGUUGGAAUAAUCAAACAUUUGUUUGAACCAACAAAAUAUUUGGUAAUGAUAAGCCAUUUGGUUGAACCAAACAAACAUUUGGUUGAACCAACAAAAUAUUUGGUAAUGAUAUAAGCAAUAUGGUUGGAAUAAUCAAACAUUUGUUUGAACCAACAAAAUAUUUGGUAAUGGUAACAAGCCAUUUGGUUGUACCAAACAAACAUUUGGUUGAACCAACAAAA